CGAAUCCGCACGAAUCCGCCUCCACGAACGUCAACAUAGGGAGGACAAUAAACAAAGCGAAGAAACUUUUUAAAAAGAAAAUUCUUCGCCUCAAAAUGUCGUAAUUUCUCUUAUUUCUCGGUCGAUUCUCGCCGCCGAUCACGCCCUCGCGAGGUUACGAAGCGACGGAGAAGGCAUGCAAGAUGUCAUCAACACGGAAACCCGUCGGAAUAAAUUUCGACAAAAUGUUACAAAGCUUAAAAGACGACAUCCAGGGCAUGGUCGAGGACUACGAGGAGACACACAUGCCGAUCAGCGACGACAGUGAGAGGCUGAGGAGGUUCUGCGAGAGGCUGGAGUUCCUGCUCAAGUUUGGGCUCAAGGGUGAGAUGGAAGGUUGGGCUCAAGGGUGAGAUGGAAGGUUGGGCUCAAGGGUGAGAUGGAAGGUUGGGCUGAAGGGUGAGAUGGAAGGUUGGGCUGAAGGGUGAGAUGGAAGGUUGGGCUCAAGGGUGAGAUGGAAGGUUGGGCUGAAGGGUGAGAUGGAAGGUUGGGCUCAAGGGUGAGAUGGAAGGUUGGGCUGAAGGGUGAGAUGGAAGGUUGGGC